GCCUAGCUUGCUAGGUGGAUUAGUGGCGCACGGGUGAGUAAUAUAUAGAUAACGUGCCUCUUAGUCUGGGAUAGCCAUUGGAAACGAUGAUUAAUACUAGAUACUCCUUCUAACUCUAAUGUUAGUCGGGAAAGUUUUUCGCUAAGAGAUCGGUCUAUAUCCCAUCAGCUAGUUGGUAGUGUAAGAGACUACCAAGGCAAUGACGGGUAGCGGGUUUGAGAGGAUGAUCCGCCACACUGGUACUGAGACACGGGCCAGACUCCUACGGGAGGCAGCAGUGAGGAAUAUUGCACAAUGGAGGAAACUCUGAUGCAGCAACGCCGCGUGGAGGAUGACGCAUUUCGGUGUGUAAACUCCUUUUAUAUGUCAAGAAAAUGACGGUAGCAUAUGAAUAAGCACCGGCUAACUCCGUGCCAGCAGCCGCGGUAAUACGGAGGGUGCAAGCGUUAUUCGGAAUCACUGGGCGUAAAGGACGCGUAGGCGGGAUGCCAAGUCUGAUGUGAAAUCCUAUGGCUUAAC
rnacentral:rRNA from 1 species